rnacentral:tRNA from 1 species
UUUAAUGAGGUGUUAAUAAGCAUAUUGUAAUUUGGUUACAAUGGGGAUUAGUUAUCCAUUAAA